CCAAAGGAUGUUGCCGUGUCCUUAUUUCAUCUCCAAAAUUUCACAAAAGUCCUUAAGAGCGAACCUGACUUUAAUACAUUUCUGAUUCAAUUUCUUAAGGGGGAGGUUAUCGGGGGCUCUUGGUUUGAUCAUGUUGCUGAUUGGUAUGCUCACAAAGAUGAAUUUGACAUCCUUUCCCUGACAUAUGAAGAUAUGAUCAAGGACACACGAGGUGCAGUUGUCAGGAUAUCAACCUUCUUGGGUAAAAAGCUAGAUGACCAAACCAUUGACACAAUCGUGGACAAAUCCUCCUUCAAGAACAUGAAGGAAGACCCACAGGGUAGACGUGAUAAACAGUAUCCAGCAUUUUAAAAAAACUGGAUCCUUUAUUAGAAAAGGGAAGGUUGGGGACUGGAGGACUAUGUUCACUGUGGCCCAGAGUGAGAGGUUUGACCAGAUCUACAUGGAGAAGAUGAAAGACGUGCCUCUUGAAUUUGACUGGGACCUGUGAAAAUAGACAUGUCCUGGUUACAUGAUGAAGACCUUCAUCAACUUGGCUGAAGAUGUCAGCAAAUUGAUCCAGAUCAACAACAAACAGUUUUGUUGUUGAUCUGUAGUUGUCAAAUUGUGCU